rnacentral:misc_RNA from 1 species
AAAAGGUGUCAUUAACACAGUCCUCCAUAGCGCGAGAAUAACAAGGGAGAAGACACCGAUGGUGACUAGGAAGACAACCUGGUCGUGCUUGCAGCAGUUCUUCAGUUCCCAAUUUGGCAUCUCUAUCUGCUUUUUGAUUUCGAAAUUCGGCUGAUUGGGAUGUGAGGAAAUGAGAGAAAAUCCGGACGCAGUGAACCUCGUCC